UGACAUCUUCUACUCAAACCAGACCAUCUAGUCAUGGUUGAGGCUGAUUCUAUUUCAGUUGUUAUGAUCUUAAGCUCGAUGCCCAUGCUCCCUGAUCUGAUCAUUUUGUAUUAGCUGGUUUAGGUUUCAUACUACUUAGCUGUUGUUUGUUUUAAUGGUUGGAUUUUGUUGAAUGUAGGAGAAUCUUAUGUUCAUAGAUAC
rnacentral:lncRNA from 1 species